AAGAAGAGUUUGAUCCUGGCUCAGGAUAAACGCUGGCGGCGUGCUUAAUACAUGCAAGUCGAGCGGUAAGGCUUUCACAGUUUGCUGGUAUCUGGUAACAGAUCGAGCGAAGUGUGAAAGUACACGAGCGGCGGACGGCUGAGUAACGCGUAGGAACGUACCCCAAACUGAGGGAUAACUCCGAGAAAUCGGGGCUAAUACCGCAUGUGAUCUCCGGAUUAAAGCUUCGGCGGUUUGGGAACGGCCUGCGUAUGAUUAGCUUGUUGGUGAGGUAAUGGCUCACCAAGGCUACGAUCAUUAGCUGGUCUGAGAGGAUGAUCAGCCAGACUGGGACUGAGACACGGCCCAGACUCCUACGGGAGGCAGCAGUAGGGAAUUUUCCACAAUGGACGAAAGUCUGAUGGAGCAACGCCGCGUGCAGGAUGAAGGCCCUAGGGUCGUAAACUGCUUUUAUAUGUGAAGACUUCCGACGGUAGCAUAUGAAUAAGGAUCGGCUAACUCCGUGCCAGCAGCCGCGGUCAUACGGAGGAUCCAAGCGUUAUCCGGAAUUACUGGGCGUAAAGAGUUGCGUAGGUGGCAUAGUAAGUUGGUAGUGAAAUAGUCCCGCUCAACGGGAUAAACAUUAUCAAAACUGCUAAGCUAGAGUAUGAGAGAGGUCACUGGAAUUCCUAGUGUAGGAGUGAAAUCCGUAGAUAUUAGGAGGAACACCAAUGGCGUAGGCAGGUGACUGGCUCAUUACUGACACUAAGGCACGAAAGCGUGGGGAGCGAACGGGAUUAGAUACCCCGGUAGUCCACGCCGUAAACUAUGGAUGCUAGCUGUAUACCGUAUCGACCCGGUAUGUAGCGAAGCUAACGCGUUAAGCAUCCCGCCUGUGGAGUACGAGCGCAAGCUUAAAACAUAAAGGAAUUGACGGGGACCCGCACAAGCGGUGGAGCGUGUUGUUUAAUUCGAUGGUAAGCGUAGAACCUUACCCAGGUUUGACAUCCCGAGAAUCUUUCCGAAAGGAGAGAGUGCUUUAUUGAACUCGGUGACAGGUGCUGCAUGGCCGUCGUCAGCUCGUGUCGUGAGAUGUUUGGUUAAGUCCAUCAACGAGCGCAACCCUUAUAAGUAGUUGAAUUUUUCUACUUAGACUGCCCUGGUAACGGGGAGGAAGGAGGGGAUGAUGUCAGGUCAGUAUUGCCCUUACACCUGGGGCCACAAACACGCUACA
rnacentral:rRNA from 1 species